CCUCACCUAUUCGAGUUUUUUGCUUUCUCUUUUCUUCCUUCUGUUUCCUUCACUCCUCAAACGACUACCUCCUAAACCGUGGCUCUUCCUCCAACGCCACCCUCUUCAACCGCGUCUUUAUCGGAGAUUUCAAUUCCGGGUCGGGUUUUGUCUCCACAGGCCCGUCCACCUACAAACUCACCCUCUCCCUACAACACAGCAAGAGUUUUCACCACUGCUUCAAGCUAUAGCUUCAGCAUCAAGAAAAUCGGAACUCACUUGUGUGAUUGUGGAAUUCCUCAAGGUGGUUAGCUUGCAAGAAUUUGCCUCAAUUUUGGAGCCCAACCUGUGCAAAAUUGCGAGUCAAAUUUUCACUCUUUUCUGAUUAUAGUUCAGUUUUGGCUUACACUAGAUACCAUUAAAUGAAUUUCUUUCAUAUGUUUAUUACUUCAGUGAGCCAUCAUGUUGGUCUUAACCAUGUUUUAUCCAAAAACUCACGUCAUUCAUUCAUCAAAAUCAUAUAAUGGAAUCACUUUAAUAUAUUAGUGAUAAACAAGUAUAUAAAGGCAGCAAUAUCUCGCAACAAUCAAUUUGAAACAGUUUUUAUAUACUAUGUGUGAGUCAAAUUUUCACUACUGAUUAUGACCAUGUACUAUUUUUUAUUGAAAUUCGGAAUCAGUCUGUGUUCUCCUUCAUCAAUGUUCAGUUAUUCAACAGGUAUCAAGUCUACGCUUAUACUUGAGGUUGCCUUUGAUUGGUAUAUUGUUUAAUACAAAUACAUUUAUUUGUUAUUAUUCUUCAUAUAUUAUUUCUCUGUAGCCUGCCUUCUAUUACGACGUGAAUAUGUAAAAGCUGGUUUAGCCAAGUUGGAGCAUUGGUGCUUUGAAACAACAGAUGAGGUUCAGCUUGGAUGAACUCAAGCAUAUUAGGCAAGUCAUUGGAUUUCUGGUCACAUCAAAAACCCAAAAAGACACGUGAUGAAAUAAGCUAUGACCCAUUCCCACUAGUAUUGUGUAAGCAAGGAAGAAGUAAUACAUUGCAUGUUGCUGCGGAAAAUUGUCCGUCUAAAUAUUUUGGUUGCAACAUUAUCUAGCAGUCAAGUUUAGUUGAAUUUUCUUCUGUAUCCAUGUUCAAGCCUUUGGGGAUUGUACUUGCAGUUGCCAUUGGUUUUGCAUUGAAACUUGCUUUUUCAACUCAGAAAAUCCAGAAAGAAAGCAUGGACUAUCUAGCUUCAUUUAAGGUUUAACUAAACUAUAAUUAUUGUUUAUGUACUCUAAGAGCAUCUUUAGCAAUGCUAGCCAUUUUUGAGUUAAAUUUUAGCCAAAAUAGCUAAAAAGUCA